GAAGACAUACAAAUACGAUCUAAAUUAUAUUAAGUAAUCAUGACGACUACCAAGCAGCACAGAUACCAAAUCGUAAUCGUGAUAUGCUAAUGACUGACUAAUACGACAUAAACUAUUAUGACCAAAUAGAAGGGAUAAUCGACUAAUCCAAAGUACUAUUAAACAAAUGAUAUACCUGACGACGUGAUGCCGAGUAUACUAAAAUAAUGCAACUUUAACCUUACAACAACCUGCCUAAUUCAGAAGCAUAGUAAACUAAUCAAAAAUUAAUAACACCAAUCCCAUCCCAACGAUGAGAAAUGAUCAGUCUUGAUCCGGCACCAUUCGUACCAAAGACAUCGUCCGAGCAUAAAUUCUAGAAGUGCUUACAGUGCAUAUAUUUCUAGCCACUUCACUUCGCGAACCUGUUCUCCAAAAAAUGUGAAAUUAGCUCUCAAUUACUUGCUUCAUCUUCACCCAGUAGCAAGCGAUAUAUAGUGCAUAAGCAAGGCUGCUUGACAAGACCUGUUAUCAAUACAGACCUACUAGCUCUCCAGAGCGCUGCCUUCCACCGAAUCGUAAAAUACUAGCCGUUAACAUUCACACGGCCAACGAAGCUUGACAUACAACACAAACCUGCAUAUAUCCAGCUUGCAUAGGUAUGACGAAAGCAGACACAGCGUCUUCUGCUCAGAGAACACAGAAUAAUACAGCUUCCAGAGUACGAUAAAACAAAUAAUUCAGAGAACAAUAAACCAUGCUGUGGUCAGUCAACAUCUGCUCUCACUAACAAAUAUGGCCGAACCCGUAAGUCAGGAAAUAAGUGAUAUCAGCGUCUUACAAUAGUACUCAUUCAUCCAUAAUGACCACAGGUACAGAACUCCCAGCUAGGGCAAAGUUCCCCUUGAAAUACACCCAUCAAAAGCAUGGAGACAUAACAGAUAAGUACAGAAUAAAUGAGACUUACACUCCAGUACGGUAUUACCAUGAAAGACUAACUCGAUGCAUUAACAAAUAAGACAACAUAACAAAUGCCAGGAUCUCAGUAUUUACCAGACAACGACAGACGCCCUCACGAGCCAAAAACCAACCAACUGCCUUGAAAGUUGUGGCAUCAGGUAUGCGAUACGAUCACCUUCCAGACAAAUCACAACUCACAAUUGUGACUUUGCUCUUUUAAUCGAAACCAGAAAUGUGACACAACCAUGAGUACAAAGUUCAGAGCUCCGAUAUCUAACUCUCAAGCAAGCUCAAGUGUUACAUAUUGCGAAACCCGGGACAACAAACCCCCAGGUCCGACGCGCACUAACGGGCGCGCAAGCAGCCACCACGGGAACAACAACUACAGCCGUGGAUGCCAAGGAGCAAGACGCAACGGGGAGGCAAGGCACCAAAGACAACCAAUCCAGCGCGACAUGGAAAAUGGACAAAACAACCAAAAGCCGACGCAGCCGCGCACCACCAGCAGGACGCACAACACCAAUCCACCCUGAAACCUCACCAACGGCAACCACACGCAACACAAAACCGGUCACACAAGAAACCAGCCGCCCCAGGACAACCUGCCCCGGGACACACCAACCACUGGCACCACCGCACCGGGCGCCACUCAAGCUGAUGCAAAAUGAUACCCUUCUCAGAGUACAUAAACUCAUCCCUAGAAAAUAUCUAUAUUUCCGCUAUCUCAUUUAUCUCAAAGACUCAAUUCUAUCAAUCACCUUCUUGAACUGUAAUCUAACUCAUAAUUCACGAACUCUAUGUUAAAGCAUAUGUCAAAUCACACAGAGAGACACACAAGAGAAUAUAAUAUUGCCUCAAAGUAUGCACUGAACAUACGCCAAUACUCCAUCUCACACUUUUUGAACCAGAUAUGAUGCUUAAAAAAUGAAUCAAUCUUCCAAAUUCCUAAAGACACGUAACCACGCCAAGUUUAAUGAGCGAGUGUUAAGUUAAUUCCAGACAAGUUUGAGUGUCUUGACAGUGAGACUCCAGGCGACCUUAAUCGUCAAUAAUGAGAUCUCAUAAAAUUAUACUGAUAAUAUAUAUAUAUAAUAUAUAUAAUAUAUAUAUAUAAUAUUAUAUAUUUAUUAUAUUAAUAUAUAUUAUAUAUAAUAUAUAUAAUAUAUUCAAUUUAACGUCAGAAUAAUUCUUUUUAACUUACUCAAAUCAUAACUUUUAAAUUGAAUUUAAUCUAAAUUGUUAAAUUUUUGUUUAAUUGGAAUUAACAUUUUUUAUUCAUUAACCCAUUUAAAUAACAAUCUAGAAUAAAGGCUAUAAUUUGGAGUAAACUAAAAAAACUUACUCUUGAAGUAAGUUAAACCCCUAAUAGGUGAUCAUAUAUAUAUUAUUAUAGUAGUAGUAAUAUAGGUAAUAUAUAGUAUAUAUAAAUGAAUAUAUAUAGCAUAGUAUAUAGGAAAUCUAACUAUUAUAUAUAUAUAUAUAUAUAUAUUAGCUAAUACUAUGAUAUAUGAUAUACAUUUAAUAUUCAAAUUUACUACUCAAGACAUAAAUUUUUAACUUACUCGUAAUACACAACACUUUCUUAGAAUUGAAGAAUUUAAUCCUAAUUGUUACAAUAAAUUUUAUUUAAUGGAACUUAGCAUUUUAUUCAAUUACACCAUUUAAAAAUCUAAAUAAAGGCUAUAAAUUUGGAGUAAACUAAAAAUAAACUUAUCUCUUGAAGUAUAGUUAAACCCCUUUAAUCAAAUAUAUAUAUAUACGUUAUAGGAUAUAUGUAGUAGUAUAGGAUAUAUAGGUAUAGAUAGGUAUAUCAAAUUGAUAGUAUAUAUAAUAUAGGUAAUACCUAUAUACAUAUAAGCCGUAUAGUUAAAGGGUGAUAGGCCAAAUAAAAGUAAUAACAAAUACGUAUUAAGGGAGAAUACGUGAUAUUAAAUGUACUAGAUUCUGCACUCCAUAGAAAAAAAAAAAUUGAAUACUUUCAUAUAAUAUUANNNNNNUAUAUAUAUAGUAUUGUAGUUGUCAACAGUUGUAUCCAUUGAGUAUUGUAGUGUAGUGUUUAUACAACUAAUUUUUGCGUGUAACCGUUAGUGGAAUUGUAGUGUAAGUUUUAUAGAGUUUUUUGUUCUCUCUCUUAUCUAUCUUCUCCAUCUUCAUCCUUUUUCACCUUGUGUACCUACAAUACCCACGCCCUUUAUUUAAUAAAUAUGUUAUUGUCAUAAGCAUACACUAACUUAUUGAUAGAAUCUUCAAACUGAAACUCAAACAUACAUAUGAAUAUGAUAUUGUGAAUCAUUGUUAAUACCACCUAACUUAUCUAUGUAUUUAUGGAAAGCGAAUACCUAUAGCUUAUCAUUAUGGAAUCAGAUUUGUGUCAAGGCUCAUUUACUUAAUUCCACAAAUCCAUAAAAAAAAUUGUUUUUAUCUUCUACAAAGAAAAAAUAUUUAUACCGGAAACAAAAACUCAUGUGAUCAUUGUUGCGACUAGAAUGACGUCGAUGCAAUAAAGACAAACUAGCCAACCAACUUAUUUAGCACCGAGACCAAAAGAUAAAACUAAAAUACGUGGAGUCCUUGUUAACCUAAUCUUUAGUGCAGCAGCGAACCAAUGAUAAAACGUUUGCAUACGUAGCUUCCUAGGCCUAUAAUCAGAUUUUGCGAGAGUAAAAGCAAUUAAAAAUAACUCACGUAAAAAGUUAAAGAAUAGAAAGUUGCCCACAUAAAAGGAGAGAUGUGUCACGCCACAUCAUGAGUAUCAAAAUACAAGUUGAUAUAGUUAUAGUGUUGUUGGUGUACCCUUGCCCAAAAACCAUAUCGUGUUGGCGAUAACUCGGAGACCCGCCCAGAGGUAUACAUGAUGUGUGAGUCAAGAAAGAGGGAGUCUCCAUUAACUCUUGAAAGAUAGGUGGUCAAUAACCUCCCAUGCUAAGAGGGUAGUUGUAGAUGCCAUUGAGGAAGACCCAAAGCUUAGGUCCAAAGAGCUUGUAUAAAUAUUAUUGCCCUAAGGAAAGAAUGAAAACUCAUUCUUUAUACCCCAAAAGAGCAUAACACUCACUAAACUCACAACACCGCGACUGACCAUAACCAUAUGCUUGCUUUAAAUCCCCACUGGUCAUCUGUAGAGCCUCUCACCUUAAGUGAGCAGGAUUCCUAAAUAACCCCCAAAACACCAUCAUACAUAGUUUCUCGCUGUCGUGGGCAAGCCCUAACCACCAUAUCAUGUUAUAAACUUACUAAGGCAUCUAAGUCUUUUUUCCCUUGUAAGGGGAACACGCACACAUAUACUUGUUGAUAAGUAUAAUGGUGCUCACUGUGAACCCCGUAAAACAAACCUGGGAUGCACCCUCUUUAUCACCAUUACCCUUAUCGUUGUUACCCAUCACUCAUAUACUUAACCACUUUCGACUAUGGUUAAUAAGAAAGCUUCAUACCUUAUAGUGGAAGGUACCAGUGGUAGAGAUGAUGUUGACGCCCUGACGGAGAUGUGUGCCACCAUGGAGGAAUUACACUUCCAUAACCAUAUGUUAGAAGAUGACGUCCACAACAUCAGACAAUGCUAACAGGAUUCUAACCCUCCAAAGGAUAUGGAACUUUUGUUUCUCCAACCACUCUUUGACGAGUUAUGGGGAUGCCAUUUCCAGAAGGUUUCAACCCUCCCUUCCUGACCAUGUUUGAUGGGCGCAUCAAUCCCUACAAGUAUGUUGCCUCCAUCAACAGACAAAUGACCAUCAUAGAAGAACCCAACUCCCUAAAAUGAAAUCUUCUAUCUGGAACUUUCAGAGACACUUCCCUCAUAUGUUAUAUGGGUUUAACCUGUGCUUUCAUCAUCAACUACUAGGAAUUGGUAAAGAAAUAGAUACACUAGUUCACUGCCAACUGCCACAUAAAGAUGUCCACUAAAGUCUAUUUAAAAUACACCAAGGUCCGUCGGAGUCACUAAGGGACUACCUUGUUCUCUUAAUGAGGCCUCCAUUAGGGUCUUCCCACCAAUUUAGGAAAUUUUUGUGGGGGAUUUCUAAAAUGGGCUUAAAACGGGCAAGUUAAAUGAUUCCCUCGCCUAGAAACCAAUGUUGUCAUUGGAAGAAGUGGUAUCUAGAGCCAAGUGCUACAUAAAGGGAGAGUAAAUCAACAUCGAAAAGAAGGCAAACGAUGCCAAGGAGCGCAUGCCUAACGCCGAGAGCUCACACCACCAAAGGAUGAGAAACUAUACCUCGCCCAUAAAGGACAAGACAAGAUUCAAAAGGGUAGGUAAGGUGAUAGAGAAAUUCACACAUCUUGAACACUCGCCAUGAUCCAAACUAGUACGAGGUACUCCACUUGCACAACAUCCAUACGUUGCAUGCCUCUAAGGUGGAUGUGAUGGGUUCAGAAUCAUAAAUAUGGUGCAAGUUCCAUAAGGUAAAGGGACAUCACACGAAGGAGUGUUAUCAACUCAAAAAGGAAAUUAAAAGACUAAUACAGAAGGAACACCUUAAGAAAUAUGUGAAGGGUGACUCCUCCAGUUUUUGAGAAAAGUCUAGCUCGCAUGGGAGAGACGACGUUGGGAUCCCCAAGUCUAACAAAGCCCAAUAGGCAUCUCAGGGCGAGGAGAUCAAAGCAAUGAGCCACAUGCUCAACACUAUAGCGUGCACGCGCGCGCGUUGGGUGGUGGUGGUGGGGGGGGGCGGGGGGUAACACCCCGAUUUAAUUAGUCAUUUAUUGAAUUAUUUAAUUAAUUUAUUUGAAUUAUGUGAGUUUUUUCGGUGACAACACUUGUUGUGAAUUGUGCGUGAUUAAUUAGAUUUUUGGUGAAAUUUGAUUAAUUAAAUAAUUAGAUUUGGUAUUGUAUGAAGUGUUAGGAAAAUUUUAUAAAUUAAGAGAAUUAGGUGGUUAGUGGAGAGAGUCUUUUGUUUAGUUAUUCCAAAAUUAUAAUUAUAAGGAAGUUAAUUAGGUUAAUAUAUAACUAGAAAAUUAGAGAGAGAUAAGGGGUUGGAGAGUUUUUACUGUAAACGUGAAAAGAGAAGAAUUGAAAGAACAAACUUUAGAGAGCUAGGGCUUGGGAAGAAGGAAUCUUAGGAGUGCUUGCUUGUUUGAUUUUGCUGGAUUUACAAGGUAAGCAGGGAUUAUUCAUCUAAGAGUGCCUUAAUAUUGGAAGGGUAGAGAGGUUUCCCUUAACCUCCAAUAGGAUUUUCUUCUAUCUCUUUUUAUUGAUUGUUUGAUGAGUUAAAUGGAUGUGAGUAUGUUUUAAUUCCACGAAUUAAUAUAAAUUUCAUAAUCUAUUUUGGUGUAAUUUGUGAAGACGAGCUUUUCCAACAUUAUGUUUUGAUGACGACAACUUCGAAUCUCUCAAGGCCAUGUGCAUAUAUCAAAGGAUGAGAAAAAGCAUCAUAAAUCAAAGCUAUGGAAUCAAGACUUGUAUCUCAAGCAAUUUUGUCAAGAUAAACUUGGACCUCUUUGGAGCUUGAUCAUCAUCUUUAGGUACAAGUUACAAUUUCAUUUUAUGCUAUACUAUAGUGCUCAGAAAGAUCAUGGCAAAUUCAUUCACAUACAUAACCUAUGUUUAACACUUAAUGAAAUUUGCAUACAAAUUGAUUUUUAAGGUAUUUUUCAGUUUUAUAGCAUGUGUAACUGGUUAGACAAACAUAAAAAAUAUUUUUUGUCAUAAGAUUGCUCCAAACAUUCUGUUUUUGGUAAAUUGUGACAUUUGAAACCGUCAUAACAACACUUUAAAACCGCCCAAAUUCGCAUUGGUUACUCAACGUAAAAAUACCUUAGUUUUUGAAAAUGUAUCAGGUAUAAACGGUUACACCAUUUAUGGUAACCGGUUACACAUGCGAAAAAUUCAUUGUUUAGGCUUUGCUUCAGGUGUAAUCAGUUACGAUAGUGUGUUAACCGGUUACCACUGAAGCAAUGACAUUUUUUCAAAAAAAUUCUAAUUCAGACGUAUUUUGUUGUUAUACCAUCAAAUAUUACAUUGAUUGAUCAUAAUACAUUCUUCCAAGAUGGUGUGAUACACAUAUAAAUACUGUAUGUUUCAGAUUUUAAAAUUUCACCUCUUUAAUUGCAAUUCAAACUCAUUACUCUCUCAUUUUCAAAACAAGUGUCUUGUCAUACAAAUUUUGGUUGAAACUUACUGCAUACUUUUUCAUUGCAUUUCUUGAAAGUUUGAACACUAUAAUCUUUGAGCACUUGUAUAAUAUAUUGUGAAUUUCCUACUUGAUAGAGAAGAUCAAUUCUAGUAAUUGAUAUACAUUAUUAUCAAACUUCGAACUCUUGUUUGAAAUUCAGAUUAGUGUGAAUACCUUGCUGUCCAGGACUGUUGGAAGCAAUAAAGUGAAAAAGAGAGAGGAUUUUUCUCUUGUUUCACUUUGAAAAUACCAUAAGUGGAUUUUCCUUAUUGAUUGAGUUAGGAACUUGUGUAUAGUGGCUAGGAUAGACUUGUUCAAAGUUCUAAGCAGAUAGUGAAAUCUCUUACUGCAUAAGGGGACUAUAGUGCUCUCGGAUUGUGAGGGGAACCAUAAUACAUCAUCAUGUUAUUUUUAGCACUUUACCGAUUUCUAAUCAUCACCAAACCAGAAAGUUAAAAGUAUAAUUUUUAAGUAACCGGAAAUCGAUCAAAGUACCUAAUUCNCAAUCAAAGUACAUAAUUCACCCCCUCUUAGGUGUAAUCACUACUUACAAUUGGAAUCAGAGUAGGUUAUAGGUAGACUGUUUCUAGAGAUCUAGAAUGGCUUCUGCAAGUGUAAAUCCGAUUUUCAAAGAUAGUGGUAGCAACAAUAAACCUCCACUAUUUUCUGGUGAAUACUUUUAUUUUUGGAAAAUUCGCAUGAAAGCUCAGUUGGGAGCGCAAGGAGAAGGAAUAUGGGAAGUUGUACAAAAUGGUCUGCAUGUUCCUACAAGUGUUGUUAAUGGUGUUGGGACUCCAAUGAUUAAAAUUGCUUGGGAUAAAGAUGAUAACAAAAAAAGUUCUUAAUCAAAAGAAAGCAAUCAACAUACUUCAAAGUGCACUUAGCAUGGAUCAAUUAUUUUGUGUCUCUCAAUGUACAACGAUAAAGAAAAUAUGGGAUACAUUGGCAGAAACUCAUGAAGGAACCGCUGAAGUGAAGAGAUCUAGAUUGAAUACUUUAUGUCAAGAGUACGAGAUGUUUAGAAUGCAGCCCGGAGAAUCAAUCAUUGCGUUAUAAAAGAGAUUUGUACACUUGAAAAAUCACUUGAUUUCUCUCGGUAAGACUUUUACUAACGAUAAUAUUAAUCUUAAAGUGAUUAGGUCUUUAACCAGGGAAUGGAAACCAAAAGUGAUGGGAAUAUCAUAAACAAAAAUCCUUUCUACCAUGACGUCUGCAUCCUUGUUCGAAAAAAUUCAAGAGCAUGAACUUGAACUUGGAAUAAUUGAAAAGCAUAAGAAUCAAGAGAAGAAAUCCAAAGGCAUUGCUUCCAAAGUUGACUCAAAAGAAGAACAGGAAGAUGAUGCUCCAAAUGAAGAUGAAAAAUUUAUGCUCCUUGUGAAAAAUUUAUGCUCCAAAUGAAGAUGAAAAAUUAUUGUAAGGUACUUGACAAUAAUGAAAAAUCUUUGAAUUAUGCAAAAAGAAAGACAUUUUCAAGAAAAAGGAUGCAUCCACUUCAACACAAGAUGUCACGUGCUAUGAAUGUGGUAAACAAGGAUACAUAAAGACAGAUUCUACAAAACUCACCAAGAAGAGUGGUUUCAAAAGUAGAAAAGGGACAAAAUCUAAAAGAUCCUACAUUGCAUGGGAAGACAAUGAGAUAAGUUCAUCAUCUGACUCGAAAAGUGACGAAUGUGCAAAUCUUGAUUUGAUGGCAUCAUAACAUUCCGAUGAUGAUGAUGAAGAGGUUAGUAAUAAUUUUUUUCUUUUUUUUGAUAAUGAUACACAAGGUGCUAUAGACGAACUACUCAAUGAAUGUAAAAUUAUGUAUAAAAUGGUGUAAAAACAAAAGAAAUAAAUUUUAUCUCUUGAAGAAAAGAUUAACACCAUGGAAAAUAUUUUGAAGUGGAAAAAUAAAACCUUGUUAAAGAAAAAAAACAGAACUUUGUAUGCAAAGAGUGCGAGUCACUUUCUUUCCAAAUUGUCCAAGUGAAAAGAGUUCUUGAAAUAUAUGAAAAGGGACAAAUUUGAUUGGAAGGUGUCCUUAGCCAACAAAGAUAUUCUAAUGAUAAAAGUGGGCUUGGUUAUUUUAAAUUUAAUAAAUCAAUUUCUAAGAAAACUAUCUUUGUUAAGGCUAGUGAUCAAUCCAGUAAAGAGAAAGUAAACAAAGCAAAAGUUGUUCAUCAUUAUCCUAAAAGGAAGAUAUUUGUAAAGAAGAAAUCUUAUGUUCCUAGAUAUAAAAGUAAUUUUGUUCCAACUUGUUUCUAUUAUGGUAUAAUUGGUCACACACCUAAUGCUUGCUAUGUAAGGAACUUUAGUGUAGUAAGUGGGUAUUAUGUGUGGGUCAAGAAAGGAACUAAUUAUUAUGAAUAAAGGAAUUUUGUUGUAUCUUUAUUCUUGUAAUGAUGUAUAUAUAUAUAUAUAUAUAUAUAUAUAUCUGUAUACUAAUUGCCUAUAAUUGUCUAGUCUAUAAUUGCCUAUAAUAGAGAUCCUAUUUUAAAUACAAUUAUGAUACAAUUUCCUGAUAUACUUUGACAGCUAUAUGGAUAUGCAUUGCCAGCAAGAGAUCCGCGCGACAGACAUUACCACCUGGCUUCGCUCAUAAAGGGAAACCAUGUGUUUGCAAAUUAAACAAAUCCAUCUAUGGUCUCAAACAGGCAUCCCGUCAAUGGUUCUCAAAAUUCUCCACCACCUCAUUCAAAAGGUUUCAUCAAUCCAUCUCUGAUUAUAGUCUAUUCACUUCAAAAGUAAUCACACGACUAUAUUUGUACUCGUUUAUGUAGAUGACAUCAUCAUCACUGGAAAUAACGAAGAUGCUAUCUCCGACAUCAAGAAACUUCUCGCCCAGGCCUUUUCCAUCAAAGAUCUUGGAAAUCUUUCAUACUUCUUAGGUAUCGAAGUAUCCCGUUCUAAAAAGGAAUAUUCUUAUGUCAAGGAAAUAUACACUUGACAUUUUAUCCGACUCUGUAUGACUGGUUGCCGACCAUCAGAUUUUCCUAUGGAGCAACACCUCCGUCUACGGCCCAAUGAAGGAAGCCUCUUCCUGAUCCGACAAUCUAUCGUCGCCUCAUUGGUCGUCCAUUAUAUUUAACAGUGACACGGCCCGACAUCCAUACGCUGUUAACACUCUCAGUCAAUUCAUGCCAAUCUCCUGUACACUCAUCUCAUGCGGCCACACGAGUUCUCCGAUAUCUUAAGGGGAGUGUCGGCAAAGGCUUAUUUCUUCGGCUUCUAGCUCCCUCAUUUAGUUGGAUAUGCCGACUCUGAUUGGGCUGGUUGUCCUACUACUCGCGUCCACUACGGCUAUUUUACCAUGAUGGGCUCUAAUCCUAUAUCAUGAAAACCAAGAAGCAACCAACAAUUUCUCGUUCCUCUGCUGAAGCAGAAUAUCGUUCCCUUGCAACUUUAUUUCCGAGUUACAUGGUUAAAAUAUCUUCUCUCGGAUCUUGGCAUUGAUCAUCCUCAACCGAUCACCGUUCAUUGUGAUAGUCAGCUGCUGUUCACAUCGCCGAAACCAGUUUUUCAUGAACGCACAAAACACAUUGAAAUUGAUUGUCAUUUCGUUCGUGAGAAAUUAAAUCAGGUCUUAUCAGCCCUUCUUAUCUCCGAUCUUUUGACCAACUAGCUGACAUAUUUACUAAACCUCUUGAGGUGAUUACUUAAAAACGCUACUCGGCAAGUUGGGUGUUCUUGAGAUUUCAAUCCCACCUCCAACUUGAGGGGGUGUUAAGAUAAGCACAUAUUAUUCACAUUAAAGAAGGUCAAACCCAAGCAAACAUGUGCUGGCAAUGCAUAUCCAUAUAGCUGUCAAAGUAUAUCAGGAAAUUGUAUCAUAAUUGUAUUUAAAAUAGGAUCUUUAUUAUAGGCAAUUAUAGACUAGACAAUUAUAGGUAAUUAGUAUACAGAUUCUUGGACUCUUAUAUAUAUAUGUACAUCAUUACAAGAAAAAUACACAACAAAAUUCCUUUCUUCAUAGAUAAUGUGUGAAAGAAAGUUAUGGUUUAUGUUUCAUGGUAACAUGAGGACAGGUUCAUGAAUGAAACAAAAUGAUGGUGCAAUGUUAGUUAUGGUAGAUGGUUGGAGUUUAGGUGUUAUGGUGGUUUGGAGAAGAGUGAUGAUAUGAAUGUGUUUUGUGUAUAAGAAGAAGAACUAAGUCAUCUAUUUUUCCUUUUCCUCCCAAUCCGUUUUUCACGUGAGUGCAUUAGGUUUGGAUGUGUCAUGAGGUUGCUACUUGAUGGGUGAUUUUGUGUGUUGCAUGGUUGUUGUGUGUAUGAUAAAAAGAAGAAAGUUAUAGUGUUAUGUGUUGUUUUAGUGAGAGAAGAAGAUAAAUAGUAGUUGGUAUUGAAGGAAGUAGCCUCACGGUUAUGGAAGUGUGUAAGUGAAUGUAUAGAAAAAUGAAAAAAAGGUUCAGAGAAAUUUUCAUAAAUGGAAAAAAGUCCCCUCCUUUUAGGUGGAGAGGGAGAGAUGUUAGUGAUCUAUUUUGUGUGCAUUACUACAAAAAGUGCUUUUAACGUCGAAAGGAAAUGCAUUUUAUCUCGCAUGCAUUAGCGAGGUAACGAAGGGUGUCAUGAAAAGUUGUCACUUAUCACUCCUUUGAUAUAAAAAUCAAAGGGUAACGUUAUAUGCACAUGGGUUCGAACCCCAACAACAUCAUUUUUAUUAUUUUCAAAACUAGCUUAUUUUAUGUCUUGGUUUAUCUUGAAAACCGAGGGAUAAGAUUAUUUCUUUUUAAAAAAUAAAAAUUGUUACAUUGUUAACCCAAAAUAUUACAUUGUUUACACAUAAUAUUAAAAUAAAAAUCAAAUUCUCUAGAGAUAUAGAUAAAAAUCAAGUUCCCUAGGGAUAUUGAUAAAAGUUAAAUUCAUUAAAGAUCUAGAUUUUAGAUCUUCGAAUGAUUGAAUCUUGGGGAACAUCAAAUGUUUGAUGCAAGAUUAUUCUCUACGAAUCUUGCAUGCAUUUGAUUCUGAAGCAAAAUAAAAUAAGGGUUAGAUAUAUAAAAUCAAUAUUCAAAUGUAUGAUUUUGUGCUCAAAUAAAUAUUUAAGAAAACAAACCCUAAACCCAAGUAAUUUUCUGCUAUUGCAAUCCAUCUUAAAGAACUUUUCCAAAAGUCUUUAUGUUUCAAGCGCUUCAUGUUCCAUAUAGAUUAGAUUUUCAAUAUUCAACAUGUUUUUAUAAUGGAUGUUCCUUUGGUUUCACGCGGAUCACUAAUGGCAUAUUCUUGAGCGUUGAUAAACAUUAAAUGGACAACAAAGAUUUGUUUAAGGGAAUUGAAUAUAGUACAAAAAUGCUUAACUAUCCCCUCGGUCACGAAGAAACCCGAAUUGAAUAAGCUAUAUAUAUUUUUUUAAAUUACAUUGUUUACACAAAAUAUUAAAAAUAUAUUAUAAAAUUUGUUUUUCAAUGAGAAUUUUUAUUUUCCAUGCCCAGGUCCCAUGCAAGAUGCUAGGGAUCUGUUUCCCAAUGAGAAUUUUUAUUUUCUGCACUUGCAAUCCAUCCCAUAGAUAUGUAGUGACAACUCGUGAUCAAAUGGAUGGUGGUGAAUAUCUCUUCCAACAGAUAUUCAUCAAAAUUCUUCCAACAAAUCUCUAGGGUAAAAUAACGUUUGAUGAAUAUCUUUUUGGGACUGCUACAUAUAAGUUAGUCUUAGGGUAAAAUCUAUUUAACGAAUAUUUUUAUAGUAAAAUAUGAUUAUUAAACAUCUCAGAUUUAUUAUAAAACUGAGGUGAAUGAUUUUUUUAAAUUACAUUGUUUACACAUAAUAUUAAAAUACAUUGUUUACAACAAAUCUUCGGUGAUAUCCAAAAUUUGUUACAUAUCCUUUAAAACAAUUUUUUGAAACAAGAAUGAUUUUAUGCACUUGCCAUUUAUCAAUUGAGUACUCUUCAAAGAUUGAGUUCCCUUCUUUAACUGAGUGUUAUUCCAAAAAUACAAAAACGACAACAUCAACACCAUUAUGUGAGAUAGAUUGUAAGGGCAGAAAAAUAUUUUGUUCAAGAUAUAAGAACAUUGAAGAUUUUUUUGUCUUACAAUCCAUCCCAAAGAAUGAUGCUUGCGAGUUUGAGGCGGUUUCAUAUCAGUAAGGAUUAAGGUAAAAUCUGUUUAACGAGUGCUUUUAUAGUAAAAUCUUAUAAUUUUAUGCCUCGGUUAAAUAGAAAACCGAAGGGUUAAAAACUUUAUUUACACUUAUAAACAAAUAAAAUCAUAAACUGCGAUAGCUGAGAAUUGAAGCUUGUACUGAGUUGUUUUUUCACAUCGGUGUUUUGAAAAUCCGACGGAAUAUAUAGUUUUUUAAUUUUUUUAAAUAAUAAAAAAUAGCGCGCCUUGACUUUCUACCUCGGUUUUCUAUUGUUCGAGGUGAAAGCUUCGUCAUGAAAAGCAUUAUUUGUUGUAGUGGUGUUCAAGACAUUUUCAAAAGGGAUUCUUUUUCCUUCUCCAACAAAGGCACUCUGGAUGUAUCAAAUUUUGGGUCUUCCCUCUUUCAUCCCAACAAAAUUUAGUACACAUGUAAAUUGAGUUAAGUUUCUUUAUUUUCAAAAAGCCAAAAAUACCCUUUUGAACUUUUAUUUAGUGACAAAACAGUUAGAAACAAACUAAACUAUAUAAAAUUAAAACAUUCUAAAUAAUCAGAAUUAAAACUUAGAAAUUUUUAAUUAAUUAUCAUGAACAUUUUGACAUAGAAAUAAAAGGGCUUAAAACGAAUAAAAACAAGCGCGAAAAUGCGCAGAAAAUUAAAAUAAAUGCAUUAAAAAUGAUCAACGUGAAAUAUACUUUCGUGAAACACACAUGUUUUGAACAAAUUUCGAAGUAAAAAAAUGUCCAGGAUGGAAGAACCAUCCAAUUUCGUGAAACACACAUGUUUUGAACAAAUUUCGAAGUAAAUUUUCUGAAGCAGAACAACCUAUAUUCUAACACUUAUAAUCCAGGAUGGAAGAACCAUCCAAUUUUCUCCUGCAAAGAUCAACAAGGUAAUGUUCAAAAACAGGGUCUUAUUCAUUGUCAUAAUCAACCACAACAAUAUCAGAAUCAACAACAACAAUGAUAUCGACCUCAACAACAGUACCAACCAUAACAACAACAACAAUAUCAGCAACAAGCACCCAAAAAACAAGAUUGGGAAAUUGCCAUUGAAAAAAUGGCAGCUCAAAAUUCCCAGUUCCAAGAAGAAAUAAGAAAUAAUCAUAGGAACACUGCUACUUCUAUAAAAAAUAUUGAAGUUCAAAUGGGUCAGAUAAUACAACAAAUAGAAGGUUCGAAAGCACAAGGUUCCCUUCCUAGUGCAACUGUGGCAAACCCGAGCGACCAUAAUAAUGUGAGUGCAAUGACAACAAGAAAUGGAAAAUCACUUGAGGUGUCUGAAUCCAAAACAGAGGAAGAAAAAUCGUUACUUGAAGUGGAUAUGGAAAUAAAGGAAAAUCAGACCAUUACUGAAGAAAAGGUCACACAGAAACAAGUUGAGAAAGAAAAAGCCACAAAGCCAAAACCAAUCAUCAAACUCCCAUAUCCUACAAGGAACAAGAAGAAGGGCCAAAAUGAGAAUUUUUUUAGAACUUCUUAGAGAUGUUUAGAAAGUUAGAAAUCGACAUUCCAUUCUCUUAGGAACUUGAGCAGAUGCCUAUAUAUGCCAAGUUCAUGAAAUAUAUUAUCUCCAAGAAACACACCAUUGACAUAUAGCAUUUACUUCUGACUGAAACUUGCAGCGCUAUUUUUCAAGGUAUGCAGAUUCCGGUUAAAAAGAAAGAUAAGGGUUAUGUCACCAUUCCAUGCACCAUUGGAGAUAUAUCAUUCAAGAAGGCACUUAUUGAUUUAGGAGCUAGUGUGAUUCGUAUGCCUUUAUCCAUUUACAGGAAGUUGGGAAUAGGAACGGUUGAUGACAUCGAGAUGACACUCCAGUUUGCAAAUCACCUAGUGAAAAGACCUUAUGGUGUAGUUGAAGAUGUCCUGGUUAAGAUAGAUAAAUUUGUGUUCCCUGUUGAUUUUGUGAUUCUUGAGAUGCCUGAAGAUGAAGAGAUCCAUUUGAUUAUGGGGAGAUAUUUCCUAGAAAUAGGGAGUUGUAUGAUAGACAUUGAGGAAGGAACCAUGACCCUCAAAGUUUAUGAUGAAGAGCUAAAAAUUGAUUCGAGAAGUGCCAUGAAGCACAAAGAUGACGUAUGUGUCAUACCCAAUUUUGUCAGGGCAUAUUUAAUUUUUUGUAAAAUCGAUUUCAUUUUUAAUUUGCAUCAUAUGUAACAACUAAAAUAUCAGUUAGAAUAAAUUUAUUGAAAAUACAGACAAAUCGGUUGAAUCUUUCCUCAAGUACGGACAAAAUCAGCGGAUAAAAAAUUUCAAAAUUAAAAUUGCAGACGCCAGUAUUAUUAAUCUACGGUUCACGUAGUUUAACCUGGUGUGCUCGUCAUAUUUUUCAAUGACUGUUUCACCUGCGUUUUGACCCGCCUGAGCCUUUUUACCGGUGCAAAUUUAUUUCAGAAUUUGAAGAAACGGUGUAUUUUUUCAAUAAGUAUAUUUUGUGCUGAUCAUUUUAGUACAUCCAAUUUAAUUUUUCGAGCAAAUUUUUGCCCGACUUUUAUUCAUUGUUAGUCCUUUUAAUUUUAUUCUUUCGCCAAAAUAUUCGGGUUGAAUAAAAAGGAAUUUCCACGUUUCAUUUCACUUUUAUCAUAUUUAUUUAGGAAUUUGUGAAUUUUCAUUUGAAUUGAUUGAUUUAAUCCCCUUUAAACCAAUUAAAUCAUUUAAAAAAGAUAACAUUGCAAUUUUGAUUGGUUUGUUUUACUCUGAAUGGAUGAUUCAAAUUAAUCAGUGGUCAAUAUUGGCACACCAUGUACGUUGCUAUUCAUCUAUAAAAAGUCGAAUUAAUUAAUAAUAAAAUGAAGUGAAGAAAUAAUAGAGAAAAUCUUGAGGCUCUCUCUCCAAUCCACAAAAAAUCCUCUCACAUAGAUUUCCAUCACUCUCUCACGCUUCCUACACGUCUCUCUCAUCACUCUCCACUACACUCACGUUUCCUCUCACACUCACAUCAAAUGACGUCCCCUUUGCUCUCUCUCCACUCAAUACUCACACUCACAACAAAGAGGCUACUCUCACAAAAACUAAAGUCUCUCUCUGGACCUCCUUUUUCAAAAAACGAAAAGAAAACUUUCCAUCUGCUUUGAAGAAAAAGCUGAUUUUCUUGAAACUCAACCUACACAAACCGCUAUUCAUCAAGCUUCCUCUUUUCCACCAUGUAAAAAACAUGUAUCCAUCCAUAACUCUUUUCCUCCUUCAACAACAUACUCCAUAUAACAACCUAAGAAAAAAAACAUGACCAUUCAACACCUUUCAAACCAAACCCCAUCCAUCUCUUCAACAGAACCAACCACUCUCACACAACCUUAACCUCGCCACCUUAAAACAACUCGCUUCGGCGAGCCUCAAACCACCGCGAAUAACCUCCAAAGCUCCUCCGCCAUCACCGGCGAACUAAACACCGAACACCCACCCAUAACUUCCAUCACCGAGAAACCCUCCAACUACCAUAGCCACUGUUGGAAAACAACGUUAACCACACAAACGAAACUGACGCGUCACCGCAUCUCCACAACUCUUCAACCGUCUCGCCGACGAUUCUCACAAUCAAACACUCACCAUCACAACCACCAAAAUUCCUUUGUUUUGCGUUUCCUCCGUCUUCAUCUUAACCGCCGGCAUAAACUUACUCUCGUUUCCGCUCGCCCUCAACCGUGAAACAACCAUACGCAUCCCUUCUGUUGUCAACGUGACUACUCAAAAGCGGAUCUGUGACGGUGCGGUUAGGUAUGGACAAAGAUGUCUACGGCUUCUAAACCCACAAUUGGAACAUACCGAAUACGUUGAAGGAGAAUGUGUUGAAGGAAAGGGAAUACAGUCCGUUGAAAGCUCGAAAAAAAAAAGCUACAGCCGAACUUCGGUAACAAUGUUACGAUGACGGUAAAUUUUGAACUUACUGUUGCUCCAUAUUGGUUUCGGUUUGAUUCUGUUGUAUUGCUGGAUGUUUGUGUAUGUGGUUAUUCCAAUUUCACAGUAUUUUCUUAUUCGACUUUGUGUGGUGUUUAAUCAUUUAUGUUGAAGUUAAUUAAGUAUAUUAUGUUGGAUAUCUUUUAAGGUCACGGUUGGUAUUCUGGUUUUAAUAAUAGUAUUUGGUGGCUUAGGUUCCAUUUAAAAUAAGUGGAUGACUUCUAAAGUUGGCAUGCUGUUUUUAAUAAUAGUAUUUGGUGGUUUAUGUUCCAUUUAAAAUAAGUGAAUGACUUCUAAAGUUGGCAUGUUGUUUUUAAUAAUUUCGUUUGAUAGCUUAUGUUCCAUUUAAAAUAAGUGGAUGACUUCUAAAGUUGGCAUGCUGUUUUUAAUAAUUUCAUUUGAUAGCUUAUGUUCAUGUUAACUUAAGUGGAUGAGUUCUAAAUUUGCUGGAACCUAUUGCUAGUUGUUUUAUCAUGUUGGUUUCAAUGUAAUUCUUUUUUUUUUCAAAAUUGCAAAAUAAUUACUGGAUGAUUGUUAUUUGAUUGUAAUUACGAACUUGGAUCCGUUGAUCAUCUUGUUGGUCAUGCCAAUUAUUAUUAUUUUUUUAAGCUGAAGUUGUUAUUGUUAGAAAAUACUUGGUGAACUAGCUUGUAGCAUGUUAAGUUUCUUAUGGUAAUGCAAUAAUAGGGUGUACUGCUAUUUGAUUUGUAUGGACAAUGUUUGCUAGAUUAUAUGGUGAUUGUCACUUAACACAUUCCUCCUCCUCUUAUUUUAAUUCACAUUGGAAUUUGUUUGAUUUUUUUCCCUCUCAAUUUGUUUGUAAGAUGUGUUAUUGGGGAAUUAAGAAUUGUUUGUUCAUAAGUAGGGAGAGGAAGACCUGCAUUUGUUUUAACCUUUUUUUAUUUAUUUUUUAUUUUUUUGUAAAUAAUAUUGGGUUCGUGUUGAUUUUUAUUUCUCAUUGCGUUGAAUAAAUUGGAUUCCUUCUAUUCAAUGGAUUCGACAN
rnacentral:lncRNA from 1 species